AUAACGCUUCAGGGCAGGGUGUAAUUCCCUACCGGCGGUAUAGCCCGCGACCUCGAAAGAGUUGAUUUGGUGAAAUUCCAAAGCCGACAGUAUAGUCUGGAUGAAAGAAGACAGUU
rfam:Lactococcus piscium MKFS47 genome assembly, chromosome: I